GAUGAAGAACGUAGCGAAAUGCGAUAAGUAAUGUGAAUUGCAGAAUUCAGUGAAUCAUCGAAUCUUUGAACGCACAUUGCGCCCGCCAGUAUUCUGGCGGGCAUGCCUGUUCGAGCGUCAUUUCAACCAUCAAGCCCCCGGGCUUGUGUUGGGGACCUGCGGCUGCCGCAGGCCCUGAAAAGCAGUGGCGGGCUCGCUGUCACACCGAGCGUAGUAGCAUACAUCUCGCUCUGGGCGUGCUGCGGGUUCCGGCCGUUAAACCACCUUCAUAACCCAAGGUUGACCUCGGAUCAGGUAGGAAGACCCGCUGAACUUAAGCAUAUCAAUAAGCGGAGGA
rnacentral:misc_RNA from 1 species